rnacentral:lncRNA from 1 species
CACUGUACUCUCUGCUGCUGAGGCUAGAUACCAGAUUGGCUCAGGUUUGGCUCCGCUACAUUGCAGUCAUUGUAACCUAGUCAUCCCCACUGCCUAAGGUUCUGAGUCUCUGGCUGGUAGAAAGCAUACUGCUAUCAGUCAUCUCUGAAGAUGAAGGGCUAUGGCAAAUGCCAUUCUAUAUUGGACCCAAAGCCCACCCAGUCGAGUAUCUUGCCUCAUACAAUGGUCAACUCAAGAUGGUUCGAAGGAAGAAUCGGGAAACCCUGCAGCAGAUUUCUCCAUGGAUUGGAUGGUGCAGGAAAUGGAAAACCCAGAUCCCUGGUCAUACCCGGGACCUUCUGCCAUCGUUUGCACCAAUGCAGAGCUACAGCAAGUCAGACUGACUUGUCUCUUGGAUGCUGAAAUGCUGUUGGCUGGUUUUCUUCCCAAAAGUGAUAGAAUAGGUUACACUUGUUGUGUAAGGGGAAAUCAUAAUGCUGGCCACCACUGUUUCCACAUUUUUUUGUUAGUAGACUACACCACAAAGGGAAAAUAUAAACACAUCAUUUGUUUCACUUUGAGGGUGUGUCUGUGCUUUAUAUUCACAACCUGCUUCACCCCACAAUAACUUGCAAGUGCAGUAGCUGCUUUGCAGAUGCUCCCAUUUUCAUUCCAGAAUAAGCUUGGUUUUUUUCUGUCUUAGCUUUAUCUACAAAGGCACGUUUAGUCUGCACUUAGUGUCCACAUAGGAAACUCUUGUAAAAUGUCUAUUUUGAUAAAUUUCCCCAGGUAAGCUAACCCUAAUGCCCAUAAUCCUGGGAAGCCUACCAGUGCAAGAGUACCUUCUGUAAGUGAUCAUUUCUUUAAUGAGGGGAAAGGGACUAGAGACAUUUGUAAUAAUCCUGACUUGCAAAAUAACACUGGAUCAAGUUGCUAUAUAAAUCUAGAUUUUUUUUCUGUACUAUAUCUCAGACUGUCAUUAUGAAUCUUUAUGGAGACCACAAAAUUAGGACAACAGAAGCUGGAAAAUCUCAUUUACAUCAUAACUUGUGGCAGAGGUG